UACGGGGGGGGGCAAGCGUUGUUCGGAAUUACUGGGCGUAAAGGGCUCGUAGGCGGCCAACUAAGUCGGACGUGAAAUCCCUCGGCUUAACCGGGGAACUGCGUCCGAUACUGGAUGGCUUGAGUUUGGGAGAGGGAUGCGGAAUUCCAGGUGUAGCGGUGAAAUGCGUAGAUAUCUGGAGGAACACCGGUGGCGAAGGCGGCAUCCUGGACCAACACUGACGCUGGGGAGCGAAAGCCAGGGGAGCAAACGGG
rnacentral:rRNA from 1 species